rnacentral:lncRNA from 1 species
UGGGAAAAGCACUUACCCCUUGCCUUUUGGAUGGUAACAUAGUUUAGUGCUUUUUAGAAUCAAUUUGAUUAUGUUGCGGGUGAAAAACAGAUCUCUACUGGGAAAGAUUGUUUGGCCAAGGAAAAUCAGAUGUCGGACACUGACCUAUUCAACAAACAAGAAACAGGACUUCUUCAGCUAAGUUCACAUAUGUUGGGAGGGGGAAGUCAAGUUAAAUACUGGUUUAUAGGCCUUGGAGCAAUCAUCUACAAAGGAUGUGAAGUUGUAACAAGCUGGACAUUCCUUGUUCAAUAGCUCAUCACUGUUAAUUCUUGAUGCUGCCUGCUCUUUAUACUUUUCCAUACACUAAUCUGCAGAUAGCUAAAGCUAUCCUUUUUAUUUGUGGUGGAGCUUUUGUUGGUAGAGAAGACAAUUUCAGAAAGGUUAUCUGUCAAACUCAAUUAAUUUCAUUAAACACAUUUAAGUUAAGUGAUAUAAUAUGGUUCAACUUAUCAUUCUUUUACUCCCAGACGACAAGAUUCUUCAACUGGAUUCGGAGUACCUGUUCUAACUAACAUAAGAGUUAGUGGUCUAACUGAUGCUGUAGUUACAUCAUCACUAUUGGAAUCUGUGAGGAGAU